AGAGGGUGCAAACGUUGUUCGGAAUUACUGGGCGUAAAGCGCGUGUAGGCGGCAGGGCAAGUCGGAUGUGAAAACCCACGGCUCAACCGUGGAAGUGCACCCGAUACUGCUCCGCUAGAGUCUCGGAGAGGAAGGUGGAAUGCUUGGUGUAGAGGUGAAAUUCGUAGAUAUCAAGCAGAACACCGGUGGCGAAGGCGGCCUUCUGGACGAUGACUGACGCUGAGACGCGAAAGCGUGGGGAGCAAACAGGAUUAGAUACCCUGGUAGUCCACGCUGUAAACGAUGAGUGCUAGGUGUCACGGGCUUUGACCCUCGUGGUGCCGCAGCUAACGCGGUAAGCACUCCGCCUGGGGACUACGGCCGCAAGGCUAAA
rnacentral:rRNA from 1 species